CAUAGUCUCGCUUUCACCUUCUUGCUCGCCCUUUUUUUGUCUUCUCCUAUACAAUCUCACUUUCACUCUCUCGAUCUCUCCCUUAAGUUCACUGCCCUCAUUCUCUCGCUUUCUCCAUUUUAAUCUUCACCGUCUCCUCUCGCUCCUCGACUUUUAGGUACCAAAAACCCAAACUAUCGAAGUCGUGAUCGCACCAAAACCCCAAACCAACGAAGUCAUUCAUCGCAAGAUUUGCAGUAAUUGUUCAAACGUUCGGGAUCGACUGAACUUCAACCGUUGCCGGUAAUUUUCUUCCGCCACCGCUGGUAAAAUAGUCCCAUAGGCGUUUUUGAGUCAUUUCAAGAAAAUUGGGCCAAAAGGAUAAAGAAUGACCAAGAAAAUCAACUAAGUUGAAGAGAAUCAGAAAAUUACCAAAAUACCAUUGAGUUUCACCAUUGAGUUUCAACGUCACGGCCCUAAGAGAAGGGUCAAGCAACGCUUGAAGACAGAAUGCUUACUUCUGUUGCAAAAUAGGGCAGCGUUGCAACGUUCCCCACAUCAUUGCAACGCUCUGGAAUUUGAUGCGAUUCAUCCCACGCGUGCGUCUUGUGCAACGCAGCGUCAACCUCCAGCGUCACGUCUCAAGCACAACGCUUCUUGGCUUUUUGCAAUGUAGCAUUGCAACGCUGACCCCAGCGUCGCGAACACUCCUGCAAGUAUAAAUAGUUUUUCUUUCAUUUUUACUGAGAUGGAAGCUGGAAUUUCUCUCUGUAUUAAUUAGUCUUUAUGGUAAUUUUGUUUCCUACUUAGUUCAUAUUUUGUUUUCUUUCUGAAUUGAAACCAAUAACUUGAAAUUCUUCAUGAAUUUGUCUAUGGAUUUGUGAAGUAUUCAAUCUUUUUUCUAUUUCAA